rnacentral:pre_miRNA from 1 species
ACCUCCUCCCAUCAAUCACAAAUGUCCUUAAUGGCAUUUAAGGAUUGCUAUUAAGGACAUUUGUGAGUCACGGGAGGAGUU